UACGGAGGGUGCAAGCGUUAUCCGGAUUCACUGGGUUUAAAGGGUGCGUAGGAGGGCAGGUAAGUCAGUGGUGAAAUCUCCAAGCUUAACUUGGAAACUGCCGUUGGUACUAUCUGUCUUGAAUGUUGUGGAGGUGAGCGGAAUAUGUCAUGUAGCGGUGAAAUGCUUAGAUAUGACAUAGAACACCGAUUGCGAAGGCAGCUCACUACACAAUUAUUGACUCUGAGGCACGAAAGCGUGGGGAUCAAACAGG
rnacentral:rRNA from 1 species